UAAAAGGCCACAAACUAAUCACCACCUUGGUAUCAGGUAGGAACUCUUGAUCGUCAGCAACGGGGAGCUGCCCCCUGUGAAUGACUCAGAAGAGGAAGUCAGGACACACAGAAAGACCCCAGGAAUACGUGUCCACAGGAAGGCCACGUGGGGACACAGUGAGAAAUCAGCCACUGGCAAGCUGAGGAGACAGGUCGCAGAAGAAGCCAAACCUUCCAACACCUUGGUGUCUGACAUGCAGCUCCCAGAACUGUGAGAAGUAAAUCCGGGCCACGACAGGUGCUCCUGAGGAACUGCUGAGCUGGGUUGAAAGACGGGCUGUGAGCAACUGAAUAUACACGCAGACGACGGC